GAGGAUAUAGCUCAGUGGUAGAGUGAAUGCCUAGUGUGCACCCACGAAGUCCUGGGUUCAAUCCCCAGCACCUCCA
rnacentral:tRNA from 1 species